rnacentral:lncRNA from 1 species
UACUCUAAGGUCAAGUAAUCAAUUACAUGAGUUAAAGGGACAAAAAUGAUCCUUCGUUGUACUAAAAACUAUUCAAGUAAACUAAGCAUAGCAUGAGGUUUUUCAAUUACAAGCGUAUUAAAUUUUGUUUUGAAAGUGUUGUUAGCUUUGUUCACUUGUGAGUUAUAUAUGUGCGUGUGUGUUUAAGUAUAUAUAUAUAUAUAUAUAUAUAUAUAUAUAUAUGGAUUGGGUAUUUCAUAUACCAUCUAAGAAACUUAAAAUUGAUUUUAGUUUUUAUGAGACGAAAGUGAUUUAUCGAGUUUACACUUUUAAUUUUUAUCUUGAGGAUGUGAUCGUACAACUAGUGUUAGUGAGAGUGCACACUAUGAAUAUAUACAAUCUAAAGGGGUGUUGCACUUUACAUAUGGCAUAUAGCAU